rnacentral:rRNA from 1 species
CAUAUCAAUAAGCGGAGGAAAAGAAACUAACAAGGAUUCCCCUAGUAACUGCGAGUGAAGCGGGAAAAGCUCAAAUUUAAAAUCUGGCGGCCUUUGGUUGUCCGAGUUGUAAUCUAGAGAAGUGCUAUCCGCGCUGGACCGUGUACAAGUCUCCUGGAAUGGAGCAUCAUAGAGGGUGAGAAUCCCGUCUUUGACAUGGACUGCCAGGGCUUUGUGAUGUGCUCUCAAAGAGUCGAGUUGUUUGGGAAUGCAGCUCAAAAUGGGUGGUAAAUUCCAUCUAAAGCUAAAUAUUGGCGAGAGACCGAUAGCGAACAAGUACCGUGAGGGAAAGAUGAAAAGAACUUUGGAAAGAGAGUUAAACAGUACGUGAAAUUGCUGAAAGGGAAACGCUUGAAGUCAGUCGCGUUGGCCAGGGAUCAACCUUGCUUUUGCUUGGUGUACUUUCUGGUUGACGGGUCAGCAUCAAUUUUGACUAUUGGAAAAAGGUCAAGGGAAUGUGGCAUCUCUUCUGAUGUGUUAUAGCCCUUGGUUGUAUACAAUGGUUGGGAUUGAGGAACUCAGCACGCCGCAAGGCCGGGUUUUAACCACGUACGUGCUUAGGAUGCUGGCGUAAUGGCUUUAAUCGACCCGUCUUGAAACACGGACCAAGGAGUCUAACAUGCCUGCGAGUGUUUGGGUGGAAAACCCAAGCGCGUAAUGAAAGUGAAAGUUGAGAUCCCUGUCGUGGGGAGCAUCGACGCCCGGACCAGACCUUUUGUGACGGUUCCGCGGUAGAGCAUGUAUGUUGGGACCCGAAAGAUGGUGAACUAUGCCUGAAUAGGGUGAAGCCAGAGGAAACUCUGGUGGAGGCUCGUAGCGAUUCUGACGUGCAAAUCGAUCGUCAAAUUUGGGUAUAGGGGCGAAAGACUAAUCGAACCAUCUAGUAGCUG